GAGACUGAUUCCAGCUGUGAGGAACUGCAGAAAAGCUCUGCGUUUCUGCGACGACGGCGUACGUCGGCAUUGAAAAUGGAAAGCCGCCACAUGAUUUGUCGAGAGAAAAUGGAAAUCCUGGAAGCUGAUUCGUCGGCAGACUCACUCUAUCCCUCUCCCGCUGCCGCUAUCUCACCAGAUAUGUUGAUGUAGUGUUUCUUUUUGUAUUUGACUUCUUUAUUUGAAGUAAGAGCUCAAAACCCAUUGUGUCAUAUAAGGAUCAAACACACAACCUCCAGUACUCCAACCGGAUACUACGAAAUUAUGACUUUAUUCUCUAAAUCUCAGAUUAAUUUAUUUUUCCUCAAUGUGGCCCUAAUACUCCGUCGUACCGUCGUACCAUAGACCUACAACAAUGAUAAAUAAAAAUAAAAAUGUAAACAAAAAACAGUUAUUCAUUUCCAUGUUUAUAAAUCCACAGGGAGCCGCUGGAGAGGAGCUGAAGAGACGCAGGUUGCUGACCGCUGGCCUCGUGGAAUAACAGCAUAAGUGGUGGUAUACCAUCACAAAACGAAAGGGGCUUUUACAAAAGGUUGAUUUUUGUAUUUAUGUUGUAUUAAUUGUAUUAAUUUGCAAGACCUUUAUAAGACCUUUGGUAAUCCAUGGUUUUAUUGUCCAAUUACAUAUCAAUAAAAUGAAUUAUUAAAAUGCAUUGAUUACACACACACA